rnacentral:lncRNA from 1 species
CCAAUCUCUCUUGGAGUCUUUCCUCAGAGUCUCUGAUGUAGCCAUUUCUGACUUGUUCAGAGAUACUCUUCAGCCUAUAAGACUCAGAGGUCAUCCAACUAAUAACUCUGUUCCAGUGUGUCCUAACAGAUUUAGGAUCAUCACUGACUUCAGAAUUUUUAGCCAGAGACUUGAUCUUCUGGACUGAGGAUUCUGCAACCUGUAU